AAUUCAUGUUCCACAAAGAAGAAAGAUCAAUAAAAGAAGCUUCUUUUGUUUUUCUUUUUUCUCUCUUUUUUUUUUCUGGAAAUAGAAAGUAAACAAAGAUUCUAUGCUGCACAGAAAUGAAAGCAGUCUAUGACAGCAUUGUAUGAUAUGAAGAAGAUUUGUUUGCAGGGUUCAUCGAUUCUCUACUAUCUUUGGCCCUUUGUACAGCGCUCCAACUGCAGCUAAGUCUUCAGGUUGCUCUCUUUCUUCAAGCCAUGCAUAGCUUUCCCUUUCUACUUCUGGGACCGAAACCCCAUCCACUGAAAACUUAGUGAAGGGAAAGUCGAGGUAGUACGAGCAAUGCCGACCAUCAGGAUCAGAGUAAGGCGGGCCAAGCACAUCUAACACUGCACACGCAGUCACAGCCGUGAAGCAAUGCAUGUUUCCUCCGUCUGCAGGGUAAAGAAUGGACGAGUUGCACGGUGCCGUGAAGUCUGCAUCUACCUUAACUUUGGCUAACCGAACACUUCUUGAAGGAGCUGUGCCACUGGACGUGUAGACACACGCAGAUACGCCAUUCUCAGCACCGACCUCCACCCAGUCGUAUGCCUUGAUGUGCAUGGUCCCAAAGAGAAGCUUGCUGAAGACUGUCAUUCCAGGAUGGUUGUGAAGUGGAAUGACACCUGAAGGAGGCAAGCAAAAUAUUCCCAUAGAGAAUUUGUUGUUCUCAUAAAGGUGCAAAUAUGUUAUAGGAGGAGUUCGUUGACCGGCUGUCGUCCGAAAAUACGGCAUCUCCGGCGACAACCCAACAUCUACUGGCUCCAUUUUAUCCAGAACAGCUCGUAGGCGUUCAAUAUCUUCAGAAGAAGGAACGAUUCCAGUCCCACUAGAAGCGAAAACUUCCUUACAAGUUUCAUAGAGUUUCUGAACCGGCAACGGCGAGGACUUCCUAGGCCGGCGCCGGUUCUUUCUCGACUUGUUAUUCGUAGUCGUUUCUUUAGGCAAUUCACAAAACUGUUUCCCUUUGCGAUCAGCCAGAGACCUCUCAAUCCCCAUUAAAACUCCAAAAAAAUUGGUUGGAAUUUGAGGGGAAAGUGAAAUUAAGUGGCCAGUUGGAGAAUUGAGGAAAAGGGGUCGCCUUAAAAACGGAAAAUAGAGGGGAAAACGGGGAUCUGGAUAGAACCCAAAAGCGAAAAGGCCAAUAAACAGGGGAAGAAGGUACAGAUUAGUACAGAUUGUGAGGAGA
rnacentral:misc_RNA from 1 species